UACCCCGUGGUCCCACCUGACCCCAUGCCGAACUCAGAAGUGAAACGCCGUAGCGCCGAUGGUAGUGUGGGGUCUCCCCAUGCGAGAGUAGGGAACUGCCAGGC
rnacentral:rRNA from 1 species